rnacentral:rRNA from 1 species
GACGGAGGGUGCAAGCGUUGUUCGGAAUUACUGGGCGUAAAGCGCACGUAGGCGGACUGUUAAGUCGGGGGUGAAAUCCUGGGGCUCAACCUCAGAAUUGCAUCCGAUACUGGCAGUCUCGAGUGCGGGAGAGGUGAGUGGAAUUCCCAGUGUAGAGGUGAAAUUCGUAGAUAUUGGGAAGAACACCAAUGGCGAAGGCGGCUCACUGGCCCGUAACUGACGCUGAGGUGCGAAAGCGUGGGGAGCAAACAGG